rnacentral:rRNA from 1 species
UACGAAGGGGGCUAGCGUUGCUCGGAAUCACUGGGCGUAAAGGGUGCGUAGGCGGGUCUUUAAGUCAGGGGUGAAAUCCUGGAGCUCAACUCCAGAACUGCCUUUGAUACUGGGUAUCUCGAGUCCGGAAGAGGUGAGUGGAACUGCGAGUGUAGAGGUGAAAUUCGUAGAUAUUCGCAAGAACACCAGUGGCGAAGGCGGCUCACUGGCCCGGUACUGACGCUGAGGUGCGAAAGCGUGGGGAGCAAACGGG